CGCCCACCCAACCUCUGUCACGACUGCCACAAUCUCUGUUCAGCUCCACUCACCUGUUGUCUUCUCUAGCUCACAUACAGCCUCGACCCCUCACCACCGAUCUCUUCCACCUCUUGGACCCCGGACCUCUCACCAUCCUGCACCUAUCUUUAUCAAUAAAACCACUUAAAGCUUCCUCUGCUGCCUGCUUUUGGGUCCUUUCAGGAAAAUAAACCCUUACAAAAAGAAGGUAUGUGUUGUCUCGAUCGAUUUGGUAUGAACAGGACAAGCACCAAAAGAUAUAGAAGUGCCAAACUUAAUAUAACCAAAAGUUUCUCACUAGAGCUUUAAUUGAUUCAGCUAUAAAGCAUCUCUUUACAGCCUCACAGCCGGUCUUUGCUUCUUAUGCUUCAAACAGCUUGUAAAGCAAUUAAAACAAUUUAUACAUCAUUAAUAAAGUGAAUAACUUGUGCUUAUAUCAAACCCUUUAGGGACCCUUUGAGGAAGCGGUGCACCCUCUGAUGUACAAGCCGUAGUCUAAAGAAAGCCGCCAUCGCAGCACC
rnacentral:lncRNA from 1 species